AUGCUGGAGCUCCGGCGAACUCCGUCAACACAGACGACGAAGGGAGCGAGCGGCACGAGGCUCCUGCUGGGCGCUCGAGGUGGCGCAGGCACGCCGGAGCCACCGGACGAGAUGCAGGUCACCGGGAGGUUCGGCAGGGGCGCGGGGCAGCUCGCGGGAGCACCGAUGGUCGAGGACGGCAAAGCAGAGGAGGCCGACGAGGGGAUUGGGCGUCGGGUCGACCUCCGGUGGCGGCGGAGCUAG
rnacentral:rRNA from 1 species